UAAGGAAUAUUGCUCAAUGGGAGAAAUCCUGAAGCAGCAACGCCGCGUGGAGGAUGAAGGGUCUAUGACUUGUAAACUCCUGUAAAGAAGGAAAAAAUUCCCAUUAGAUGGGAGAUGAUGGUACUUCUGGAGUAAGCCCCGGCUAACUACGUGCCAGCAGCCGCGGUAAUACGUAGGGGGCAAGCGUUGUCCGGAUUUACUGGGUGUAAAGGGUGCUCAGGCGGAUUUGUAAGUCAGAGGUGAAAUCUUACAGCUUAACUGUGAAACUGCCUUUGAUACUGCCAGCCUAGAGUAUGGAAGAGAGUGAUGGAAUAUCUGGUGUAGCAGUGAAAUGCGUAGAUAUCAGAUAGAACACCAAUGGCGAAGGCAGUCACUUGGUCCAUUACUGACGCUAAAGCACGAAAGCGUGGGUAGCAAA
rnacentral:rRNA from 1 species